CUAAAUAGUAAGGUAACAGGUCCCCUAAUGGGGAUAAUAGGGAAGCCCGUGGGGAAUUGUUAAGAAUUGUUCCUGAAACGGUGCGGACCCACCACUGUAGUCGAGGAGUUUCUCAAAUUGUCCACUGCUGGCAGUUGUAUAAGUCUAGUGGGAAGGCUUGAGAAAAUGAUGAUUCGUUAGCCAGGAGACCUGCCUGUUAUCUCGUAUUCUU
rnacentral:ncRNA from 2 species